rnacentral:rRNA from 1 species
GUAGGUGGCAAGCGUUGUCCGGAAUUAUUGGGCGUAAAGCGCGCGCAGGUGGUUCUUUAAGUCUGAUGUGAAAGCCCCCGGCUCAACCGGGGAGGGCCAUUGGAAACUGGGGAACUUGAGUGCAGGAGAGGAAAGUGGAAUUCCACGUGUAGCGGUGAAAUGCGUAGAUAUGUGGAGGAACACCAGUGGCGAAGGCGACUUUCUGGCCUGUAACUGACACUGAGGCGCGAAAGCGUGGGGAGCAAACAGGGAUUAGAUACCCUGGUAGUCCACGCCGUAAACGAUGAGUGCUAAGUGUUGGGGGGGUUUCCCGCCCCUCAGUGCUGCAGCUAACGCAUUAAGCACUCCGCCUGGGGAGUACGGUCGCAAGACUG